ensembl:snoRNA SNORD33 Small nucleolar RNA Z195/SNORD33/SNORD32 family
UUUGUCAGUGAUGUUUUCCUACAGUUAAGUAUGAGUUUAACGACCAUGAGUUCACUUCAUGCACUACCAGCUGAGACAAA